UACGUAGGUGACAAGCGUUGUCCGGAUUUACUGGGCGUAAAGAGCGCGCAGGCGGUCGAUCAAGUCGAGUGUGAAAGCCCCCGGCUCAACUGGGGAGGGUCAUUCGAUACUGAUCGACUCGAAGGCAGGAGAGGGUAGUGGAAUUCCCGGUGUAGUGGUGAAAUGCGUAGAUAUCAGGAGGAACACCAAUGGCGAAGGCAGGUCUCUGGGCCACAACUGACGCUGAGGAGCGAAAGCAUGGGGAGCGAACAGG
rnacentral:rRNA from 1 species